rnacentral:rRNA from 1 species
AUGCAGUCGAACGGCAGCACGGACUUCGGUCUGGUGGCGAGUGGCGCAUGGGUGAGUAAUAUAUCGGAACGUGCCCAGUCGUGGGGGAUAACGUAGUGAAAAUUACGCUAAUACCGCAUACGAUCUAAGGAUGAAAGCGGGGGAUCGCAAGACCUCGCGCGAUUGGAGCGGCCGAUAUCAGAUUAGGUAGUUGGUGAGGUAAAGGCUCACCAAGCCAACGAUCUGUAGCUGGUCUGAGAGGACGACCAGCCACACUGGAACUGAGACACGGUCCAGACUCCCACGGGAGGCAGCAGUGGGGAAUUUUGGACAAUGGACGCAAGUCUGAUCCAGCCAUUCCGCGUGCAGGACGAAGGCCUUCGGGUUGUAAACUGCUUUUGUACAGAACGAAAAGGUCUCUAUUAAUACUAGGGGCUCAUGACGGUACUGUAAGAAUAAGCACCGGCUAACUACGUGCCAGCAGCCGCGGUAAUACGUAGGGUGCAAGCGUUAAUCGGAAUUACUGGGCGUAAAGCGUGCGCAGGCGGUUUUGUAAGACAGGCGUGAAAUCCCCGGGCUCAACCUGGGAAUGGCGCUUGUGACUGCAAAGCUGGAGUGCGGCAGAGGGGGAUGGAAUUCCGCGUGUAGCAGUGAAAUGCGUAGAUAUGCGGAGGAACACCGAUGGCGAAGGCAAUCCCCUGGGCCUGCACUGACGCUCAUGCACGAAAGCGUGGGGAGCAAACAGGAUUAGAUACCCUGGUAGUCCACGCCCUAAACGAUGUCAACUGGUUUGUGGGUCUCUUCUGACUCAGUAACGAAAGCUACGCGUGAAGUUGACCGCCUGGGGAGUACGGC